rnacentral:rRNA from 1 species
UGAGUACAAGAUGCUACGGCAUUGAAGCAGUCUAUGUCAUACUUCCAAGAAAAGCUUGCAAUGUCAUAAACAAAUAAUGCCUGUACCAUAACCGACACAGGUGGGUAGGUAGAGUAUACUAAGGGGCGCGAGAUAACUCUCUCUAAGGAACUCGGCAAAAUGACUCCGUAACUUCGGGAGAAGGAGUACCUUAUUUUAUAAGGUUGCAAUAACAAGGUCCAAGCAACUGUUUACCAAAAACACAGGUCUCCGCUAAGUCGUAAGACGAUGUAUGGGGGCUGACGCCUGCCCAGUGCCAGAAGGUUAAAGAAGUUGGUUAGCAUUAUCGAAGCUGAUAACUGAAGCCCUGGUGAACGGCGGCCGUAACUAUAACGGUCCUAAGGUAGCGAAAUUCCUUGUCGGGUAAGUUCCGACCCGCACGAAAGGCGUAAUGAUUUGGAUACUGUCUCGGAGAGGGGCUCGGUGAAAUAGACUUGUCUGUGAAGAUGCGGACUACCUGCACCUGGACAGAAAGACCCUAUGAAGCUUUACUGUAACUUGAGAUUGAAAUUGGACUUUAUUUGCGCAGUAUAGGUGGGAGACCUCGAAAGUAUUCUUGCGGGAAUAUUGGAGUCAUCAGUGAGAUACCACUCUUAUAAUGUUAGAUUUCUAACUUUGUAUCAUUAUCUGGUCAAAGAACAGUUUCAGGCGGGCAGUUUGACUGGGGCGGUCGCCUCCCAAAUGGUAACGGAGGCGCACAAAGGUUUCCUCUGAACGUGUAGAAAUCGUAUCUAGAGUGUAAAGGCAUAAGGAAGCCUGACUGUGAGACCUACAAGUCGAGCAGGGACGAAAGUCGGUCUUAGUGAUCUGACGGUGCUGAGUGGAAAGGCCGUCACUCAACGGAUAAAAGUUACUCUAGGAUAACAGGCUGAUCUCCCCCAAGAGUUCACAUCGACGGGGAGGUUUGGCACCUCGAUGUCGGCUCAUCGCAUCCUGGGGCGGUAGUACGUCCCAAGGGUUGGGCUGUUCGCCCAUGAAAGCGGUACGCGAGCUGGGUUCAGAACGUCGUGAGACAGUUCGGUCCAUAUCCGGUGUAGGCGUUAGAAUAUUGAGAGGAGCCUUCUUUAGUACGAGAGGACCGAGAAGGACAUACCUCUGGUGUACCAGUUAUCGUGCCAACGGUAAACGCUGGGUAGCUAUGUAUGGAGAGGAUAACCGCUGAAAGCAUCUAAGUGGGAAGCCCACCUCAAGAUAAGUA